UAGGGAAUAUUGCAAAUGGGCGCAAGCCUGAUGUAGCAACGCCGCGUGUGCGAUGAAGGUCUUCGGAUUGUAAAGCACUUUUUGGAGGGAUGAGGAAGGACAGUACCUCCAGAAUAAGCCUCGGCUAACUACGUGCCAGCAGCCGCGGUAACACGUAGGAGGCAAGCGUUAUUCGGAUUUACUGGGCGUAAAGCGCGUGCAGGCGGUUUGGAAUGUAGGAUGUGAAAGCUCCUGGCUCAACUGGGAGAGGUCGUUCAAAACUUCCAGACUUGAGAGUGGUAGAGGGAGGUGGAAUUCCGGGUGUAGUGGUGAAAUGCGUAGAUAUCCGGAGGAACACCAGUGGCUAAAGCGGCCUCCUGGACCACUUCUGACGCUCAGACGCGAAAGCUAGGGUAGCAAACGG
rnacentral:rRNA from 1 species